CUGUUCAGCGUGUGCAGUGGUAUCAGAGGCCAGCCCUCAUCAGGUAGCUGUAUAUGAGCUGAUCACACAAAGACUACAGCCUUUCAGUGUUUAGCAGCUUGAUGGAUCAGACUUGUUAUAAAUAUUCAUAAACUUUUGCAGAGGAGAGGGCAGACACAAGCUUGGGUUAGGAAAGUGCUUUUUAAUUGCAUGAAAUACGUAAAAGACUCAAAAAUUGGGAGUCAAUUACCUGGCAGUGAUAAAUCACCUCUGGAGAAAGAGGGGAGUAAGAACAAAGGGAAGCAGGAGUGGGAGAUGCUGAUAAACCAUUGCAGCACUCUAAUUUGGUACCACCCCAUAGAUGCUGUACAGUUGUAAUCCUGGAAUGUCUUGGGGUCUCUUUGCUGCUGAAAUUUCUAGUCUUUUUGUAAAACUGCUUCCUUACGUAGAGCUGAGCAACCCUGUACUCGUGUGUUGCCUUCUCUGAAUGUACAUAAGUGACCUCAGGCACACAGUCUGUGAGACUGUAGCAUUCCCCUGCUCUUGUGUAGUGCCACCACGUGCAGUGACUGUUACUUGCCCGUACUUCCUUGCACACCUGGACAAGUCAGGGACUUUGACUUGGUGGAGCUCACAGGGAGCACUGAGAAGAGCAUCCAGAUUUCCUGUCUCUCACUCUGGGGCUCAAUCUGCUACGGUUCAGCAGCUUUCUUAUUUAUCCUGCCUUGUGCCUGGUUACAAGUAUAAGUAGAUGCAUUUCCUUUUCAAGGUGUUAAUAUGCUACAGCCUCCUCACAUCUCCUCUUGCUGUUACAGGCCAAUACACAUGCUGGCUACCGAAAAUGCAAGAAACUACAUGAGGAGGUCAGAUCAAAGCUAUACUGAGCCCUGUCUUAAGUGCUGACAGGGCUUGGCACUGGGGACUAAAGGAGGACAAUAAAGCCCAGGACACUGAAGCACACACAGCGCUAGUAAGGUGUGCUCCAUCAUUGGCCACUUUCCUGAGCAGGCCUGGCCAGAACUGGUGUCUGGCAGGGUACGAGAUGUGCCACUGCCCCCAGGAAGCCUGCUUUGGCCUCCCUUGCACAAUAGGUUGUUCAGUGGUAGCCUACAGCCAGCUGAGCACCUAUCUCAAACAGGAGAGAACUGCUGGGGCAAUCUCCAAGAGUGCGCACAAUCUCUUUGGGUGGGCUUUUUGGAGCCCAUGUCCUGUACAGCGGGACUGCACUGCUUGUGAUGAACUGGGGGCUCGAGUAUCCUCAGGGGGCGGAGUUCAGCCCUUAUUUUUUUGGUAGAUUUAUGCAGGCAACCCUCCUCACAUGGGAGUGGACGUGUACUGCCAGAGGAAUGCAGUUUUGAGCAGUGCAUCCUAGGAUAAAUUAAAAGCUACAUACUUUUUUGGGGGUGGGUUGGGGAAUGUGAACUGGAGUUGCAUUACGUUUUCCUAACAGAAUUGCUGUGUUACUUGUACACAUGCUAGA